rnacentral:rRNA from 1 species
AUUGAACGCUGGCGGCAGGCCUAACACAUGCCAGUCGAGCGGACGAGUGGAGCUUGUUCCAUGAUUCAGCUGCGGCCGGGCGAGUAAUGCCCAGGAAUCUGCCUGGCCGUUGGGGAUAACGUAUCUAAAGGAACGCUAAUACCGCAUACGUCAUACGGGAGAACGUGGGGGAUCAUUGGACCUCACGCUAUCAGAUGAGCCUAGGUCGGAUUAGCUAGUUGGUGAGGUAAAGGCUCACCAAGGCGACGAUCCGUAACUGGUCUGAGAGGAUGAUCAGUCACACUGGAACUGAGACACGGUCCAGACUCCUACGGGAGGCAGCAGUAGGGAAUAUUGGACAAUGGGCGAAAGCCUGAUCCAGCAAUGCCGCGUGUGUGAAGAAGGUCUUCGGAUUGUAAAGCACUUUUAGUUGGGAGGAAGGGCAGUAAGUUAAUACCUUGCUGUUUUGACGUUACCAACAGAGAAAGCACCGGCUAACUUCGUG